rnacentral:rRNA from 1 species
UACGUAGGGUGCGAGCGUUGUCCGGAAUUACUGGGCGUAAAGAGCUCGUAGGUGGUUUGUCGCGUUGUUCGUGAAAACCGGGGGCUUAACCCUCGGCGUGCGGGCGAUACGGGCAGACUGGAGUACUGCAGGGGAGACUGGAAUUCCUGGUGUAGCGGUGGAAUGCGCAGAUAUCAGGAGGAACACCGGUGGCGAAGGCGGGUCUCUGGGCCGAAAUUGACGCUGAGGAAGCGGAAAGCGUGGGGAGCAAACGGG